GCGGGCGUAGUUUAGUGGUAGAAUGUCUGCUUCCCAAGCAGAAGGUCGCCGGUUCGAUUCCGGUCGCCCGCU
rnacentral:tRNA from 1 species